UGGGGAAUCUUCCACAAUGGACGAAAGUCUGAUGGAGCAACGCCGCGUGAGUGAAGAAGGGUUUCGGCUCGUAAAACUCUGUUGUUAAAGAAGAACAUAUCUGAGAGUAACUGUUCAGGUAUUGACGGUAUUUAACCAGAAAGCCACGGCUAACUACGUGCUAG
rnacentral:rRNA from 1 species